GGCAAUGAUGCGUAGCCGAACUGAGAGUUUGAUCGGCCACAUGGGGACUGAGACACGGCCCAAACUCCUACGGGAGGCAGCAGUAGGGAAUCUUCCACAAUGGGCGAAAGCCUGAUGGAGCAACGCCGCGUGGGUGAAGAAGGUCUUCGGAUCGUAAAACCCUGUUGUUAGAGAAGAAAGUGCGUGAGAGUAACUGUUCACGUUUCGACGGUAUCUAACCAGAAAGCCACGGCUAACUACGUGCCAGCAGCCGCGGUAAUACGUAGGUGGCAAGCGUUAUCCGGAUUUAUUGGGCGUAAAGGGAACGCAGGCGGUCUUUUAAGUCUGAUGUGAAAGCCUUCGGCUUAACCGGAGUAGUGCAUUGGAAACUGGGAGACUUGAGUGCAGAAGAGGAGAGUGGAACUCCAUGUGUAGCGGUGAAAUGCGUAGAUAUAUGGAAGAACACCAGUGGCGAAAGCGGCUCUCUGGUCUGUAACUGACGCUGAGGUUCGAAAGCGUGGGUAGCAAACAGGAUUAGAUACCCUGGUAGUCCACGCCGUAAACGAUGAAUGCUAAGUGUUGGAGGGUUUCCGCCCUUCA
rnacentral:rRNA from 1 species